UACGUAGGGUGCGAGCGUUAAUCGGAAUUACUGGGCGUAAAGCGUGCGCAGGCGGUUCGUGAUGUCUGAUGUGAAAGCCCCGGGCUCAACCUGGGAAUUGCAUUGGAAACUAGCGGGCUGGAGUGUGGCAGAGGGGGGUGGAAUUCCGCGUGUAGCAGUGAAAUGCGUAGAGAUGCGGAGGAACACCGAUGGCGAAGGCAGCCCCCUGGGCUAGCACUGACGCUCAGGCACGAAAGCGUGGGGAGCAAACAGG
rnacentral:rRNA from 1 species